AAUCAACGCUGGCGGCGUGCCUCAGACAUGCAAGUCGAACGUGAAAGUUUCCUUCGGGGAGCGAGUAGAGUGGCGCACGGGUGAGUAACACGUAGGUGAUUUACCUUUGGGUGGAGAAUAACAGUCGGAAACGAUUGCCAAUACUGCAUAAUGCAGCGGCUCGACAUCGAGACAGUUGUUAAAGUAGGGUUGAAAGACCUUAUGCCUAAAGAAAAGCCUGCGGCAGAUAGCUAGAUGGUAAGGUAAUGGCUUACCAUGGCGACGAUCUGUAGCCGGCCUGAGAGGGCGGUCGGCCACACUGGGACUGAGACACGGCCCAGACUCCUACGGGAGCAGCAGUGGGGAAUCUUG
rnacentral:rRNA from 1 species